AUUGAACGCUGGCGGCAGGCCUAACACAUGCAAGUCGAGCGAGCGGAGGAAGGGUGCGUAAUGUCUGUGAAACUGCCUGAUGGAGGGGGAUAACUACUGGAAACGGUAGCUAAUACAGCAUACCCUCAGAUGUGCCCAGAUGGGAUUAGCUAUUAGGUGGGGUAAUGGAGAACCUCUGCUACGAUCCAUAGCGGGUAUGCGAGGGUGACCAGCCACAAUGGAACUGAGACACGGUCCAGACUCCUACUGGAGGCAGUAGGGGGUACUAUUGCACAAUGGGCGAAAGCAUGAUGCAGCCAGGCCUUGGGGAUGAAGAAGGCCUUCGGGUUGGAAAGUACGUGCAGCGUGGAGGCGUUACUCGCAGAAGAAGCACCGGCUAACUCCGUGCCAGCAGCCGCGGUAAUAC
rnacentral:rRNA from 1 species